GACGAACGCUGGCGGCGUGCCUAAUACAUGCAAGUUGAGCGAUGAAGAUUGGUGCUUGCACCAAUUUGAAGAGCAGCGAACGGGUGAGUAACGCGUGGGGAAUCUGCCUUUGAGCGGGGGACAACAUUUGGAAACGAAUGCUAAUACCGCAUAACAACUUUAAACAUAAGUUUUAAGUUUGAAAGAUGCAAUUGCAUCACUCAAAGAUGAUCCCGCGUUGUAUUAGCUAGUUGGUGAGGUAAAGGCUCACCAAGGCGAUGAUACAUAGCCGACCUGAGAGGGUGAGCGGCCACAUUGGGACGGAGACACGGCCCAAACUGCUACGGGAGGCAGCAGUAGGGCAUCUUCGGCAAUGGACGGAAGUCUGACCGAGCAACGCCGCGGGAGGGAAGAAGGGUGUCGGAUCGUAAAACUCGGUUGGUAGAGAAGAACGUUGGUGAGAGUGGAAAGCUCAUCAAGUGACGGUAACUACCCAGAAAGGGACGGCUAACUACGUG
rnacentral:rRNA from 1 species